UUCCUCUUGGUACAGCUCACAGUCUGUCUUGAUCUCUGGGCCUUCCACAAGAUCUGCAAUAUUAAGCUUUGGGGGUUGUUUAUUACUUGAGAGAGAUAAUAUGUCACUGCAUGGCUGUGGGAAUCACGCUGCUGUCUUCUGUUUUGCUGGAGCUGUGCUGAAGCACCUGGAAUGUAUUUGGAUUUUUUUUACGUGAGUGUUAAUUUUUAAUGAAACCCUCAAGUGUCAAGCAGUGUCAGACAUGUUCAGAAUUCUUGAGUUCUUCUUUUUGAAGCUGACCUUGGAGAAAAUCAAUGCAAGGAGUAUUUUUCUCAUCCGGUGUCUUCGUGGCUCUCUCUAAAACGAUUAGCUGGAGGCUAUUUGCUCGGGCCCCAGCCCUUGGGCUUGCUGGGACAAUCGCUCAGAGGUUCAGAUUUAGAAACCAAUGAACGUCAAGCUGCGCCUCUGAACUCGGCUUCCUUUCAGAUGAGCCGGGGUGACCCACAGCCAGCUGUAAAGAGUGUAGUGACCACCCCCCUGCCUUUUGGAAAGGAGAAUAUUUCCCAAAGCACUGGCAACACUCCUGACUUCCUCCUCUGUGGGCUCUGGAUGCGAUUUGCGUGUGCCAAGUUUCAUCUUGAGGAGAUGUCCGUCCAGCCUGGUGUGCAGGCAUCGGGGGAUGAGUGCUGAGGUGUUGGGGGGGGGAAUGCUGCUAAAAAUCUCUUUUGCUAUUAAAAACACAGCUGGUAAAAA